AGCCCGUGUUCGCGUCGAGCAAUAGUUUUCGUGUGAAAAUCGUAGAAAUUAGCUGACCGGCAAAGUCCUUGAAAAAGGCAGAGUGCCGGGAGAUUGCGGUUUGCGUUUUCCGCGUUAAAGACUCUGGCGAAUACAUUAAAUUUCACACUUUUCAAUCACUAUCCUUUUCUCUUUCGUUUUAAACCGUCCGCUGAAUUAAUUACUUUUCUUUUUGGUUUUUUUUUUCCUUUCGUGUCGCGUCGUCUUUGCAAUACUUUUGUGCUCGUUUCGUAAUUAAUCGUCCCGUAAUACCGUAAUCAAGGCCGAUCGCGAACGCGUAGUGCAGUGGCAGUUCCCUCAUUUCUUCUUUGAUUUCCAGAUUUUUCAACGACACCAGAGAAAAGCUACUAACAAUCUAUUAUCAGAUAUUAUUAUUUCACCUUGAUUCCUGGUAAGUUGUCCAUUUCAUUUUAUCGAAUACGACGAAUCUGGACGUGGCGAGGCAAAAUGGGCGAUCUACGAAACCGAGAAUUCUGGAAAGUUUCCCCCUAGAUCGUUCCGUUCGCAAUCGAGACAAGAGAUUAUCAUGAUCUAACGAAACUACAAUCAAAGAAGAUAGAGAGAAUGUACAGAAUUUCCAAUAAAAUACCAGGACAAAUAACAGAAGUAUGUUCUCGAAACAGAAAUGCAGUUACUUUUUUGCAAGAUAUAUCUGAAAAUAUGAUGAAGCGUUUGAUCAGACACGGAGGGGAAAAUUGCAACAGAGAUAUUAUGGAGUAUAUAUACAUAUAUAUCUUCAUACAUGUAGCUUUUCACAUUAAGAAACAGAGCAUAUAAUAGAAGCUUUUCACUAAUUGAAUAUGACAAUCAAAAUCAAAUUGGGGAUAUAUUUGCCAUUAUUUGGCAAUUAAUUUGAAUCUGUUCAGACAUUGAUGGGAAAAUUACCACCAAAAAUUAUGAAGUACAAAAAUUGAAUGGAUACAUUAAAGAAAUUAACCAGCGUUGAGUGAAAUACUAAGAUAAAUAACAAGAACAUUCUCUGAAAAGAAAUGCAAUUACUUUGUCGCAAGAUAUAUCUGGAAAUAUGUUUAAGCAUUUAUUUAGACAUUGAUGAGGAAAUUACAAUAAAGGAAUUAUGGAGUAGAACAAUUUGAUAGAUACAGUGAACAAAUUAUCCAAAGAAGAGGAUUAUAAAAUUAGAUAAGUUUGUCUUCCAAAUCAUGGACUAUAAAAACAAUGUAAUGCGAGCAUAUUUUAAGUAAAUAAAUUAAUAGGAGAAAAUGAAA